CCUACGGGUGGCAGCAGUGGGGAAUAUUGGACAAUGGGCGAAAGCCUGAUCCAGCCAUGCCGCGUGUGUGAAGAAGGCCUUCGGGUUGUAAAGCACUUUCAGUGGGGAAGAAAGCCUUGGGGCUAAUACCCUCGAGGAAGGACAUCACCCACAGAAGAAGCACCGGCUAACUCCGUGCCAGCAGCCGCGGUAAUACGGAGGGUGCGAGCGUUAAUCGGAAUUACUGGGCGUAAAGCGCGCGUAGGCGGUCUGAUAAGCCGGUUGUGAAAGCCCCGGGCUCAACCUGGGAACGGCAUCCGGAACUGUCAGGCUAGAGUGCAGGAGAGGAAGGUAGAAUUCCCGGUGUAGCGGUGAAAUGCGUAGAGAUCGGGAGGAAUACCAGUGGCGAAGGCGGCCCUCUGGACUGACACUGACGCUGAGGUGCGAAAGCGUGGGUAGCAAACAGGAUUAGAUACCCGAGUAGUC
rnacentral:rRNA from 1 species